GACGAACGCUGGCGGCGUGCUUAACACAUGCAAGUCGAACGAGCUGAUUUCUUCGGAAUGAAGCUAGCGGCGGACGGGUGAGUAACACGUGGGCAACCUGCCUCAUAGAGGGGAAUAGCCUUCCGAAAGGAAGAUUAAUACCGCAUAAGAUUGUAGUACCGCAUGGUAUAGCAAUUAAAGGAGUAAUCCGCUAUGAGAUGGGCCCGCGGCGCAUUAGCUAGUUGGUGAGGUAACGGCUCACCAAGGCGACGAUGCGUAGCCGACCUGAGAGGGUGAUCGGCCACAUUGGGACUGAGACACGGCCCAGACUCCUGCGGGAGGCAGCAGUGGGGAAUAUUGCACAAUGGGGGAAACCUUGAUGCAGCAAUGCCGCGUGAGUGAUGACGGCCUUCGGGUUGUAAAGCUCUGUCUUCGGGGACGAUAAUGACGGUACCCGAGGAGGAAGCCACGGCUAACUACGUGCCAGCCGCCGCAGUAA
rnacentral:rRNA from 1 species